UCCGCUGCAAUUCUUCUUUUAUUGUUUCUUUUUAUUUUUAUUAUUUUAAAAUUUGAUAGUUUGCUUUCUAACUUAUGCGUCUAGUACUCUUACUUCCUGGUAAAUUUUAUUAUUUAAUUCUAUUAUAACUUUUUAGUCUUUAUUGAUGUCAAAUGUGUUGCUGCUGCUUAAGUGUUAUUUUUACUGAGUUUGCUGCUCAAAUUUUGUUAUCACUUUAUCAGAAUGAUGUUAGGUGAAUUUCAUGUUGCUCAGUUUGGACUUUGGAAAUGAAAGCUUAACUUAGAUUGGUGCCGAUGAGUUUUUGCAAAUCAAGGAAAAAGGCUCACAUAUGAAUUGAAUUCAUUUCCAUGUGCCGAUGAGUUUGAAUGGAUGGCAAUUUCUUAAUAUACUUCUCCGGCAAAGAAAUGAAAUAGGGAAGAAUUGCAUUAACGAAAUGAAAAGUAGUAUUAUCUUUUAAUUUCCAUUUGUUGUGAUUGAUUAUCGGUUUACUAAUAGGAUUUAAUUUUAUGUAAAGUGUUAAAACUUGUAUAUAGAUAUCACAUUAUAUAUUGUUACAUCAGUAUUAUUUUUCAUACCCACUACAUGAAUGCUCAUCUUUGUGAGUGAAUCAUUUUGAUUGCAUGAACCUUUUACAUUGUCUGUGCAUUAGAUAUCACAUUAUAUAUUGUCUGUGCAUUAGAAUCAACCUCAUUUUUUUUUCUUGAAAGAAAGAUUAUAUGUAAUGUCUAUUAACUGUUGCCUACGCUAUUUCUGAGUUUGGAUUGGAUUUCAAUAUUGUAUAUUUCAGUGCAUAUUAGGGGGGGAAAAAAGGUACAACAAAGAAGCAAAAAGAACCGUUGUUCCAAUGCUAUUUAACUGCUAUCAUUGCUGUGUAGUUUGAGUUAUUACAGGAUUUUGGUGUUCUCAUGAUCCCAACAGUACCAGGGUCUCCACCAAAGCUACAAACAGAUCCAUCUGAAUUAGAAGUUUUUCGAGCAAGGGCAUUUAGCUUGCUGUUCAUUGCUGGAGUCUCUGGAUUUUGCCAGGUUUGAAAUUGAUUGCGUAGCUUCCAUUCUAUUUUCAAGCUUUGUAAUUGUGUGAGGAGCGUCCAACGAGUUAAGGUACUUUAUUUUUAUUUACUUAAUUGUUUAUCAAUUAAUGUUUUAUUGUAGUUAAAAUGUGAUUUGUUCAUGCAUUUAGUUAAGAUGCACUAUUACAAUGGGACAGGUUAUGAAUAUGAGUCAGAGUCGCAAUUGGAUGUACAAUAGACUAAGACUUGGUCGAAAGGGUUUAACUAGUGAAUUUACAAAAGGGGUAGAAGAAUUUAUUUCCUUUGCUGAGAGAUCAGCAGAUUUGUCAAG